GGUGAACGCUGGCGGCGUGCUUAAGACAUGCAAGUCGAACGGCAGUCUUCGGACUGUAGUGGCGCACGGGUGAGUAACGCGUAACUGACCUACCCCAAAGUCGCGGAUAACGAUUCGAAAGAAUCGCUAAUACGUGAUGUGCUGUCAGAUUGUGUUCUGCCAGUAAAGAUUGAUUGCUUUGGGAUGGGGUCGCGUUCCAUCAGCUAGUUGGUGGGGUAAAGGCCCACCAAGGCGACGACGGAUAGCCGGCCUGAGAGGGUGGCCGGCCACAGGGGCACUGAGACACGGGUCCCACUCCUACGGGAGGCAGCAGUUAGGAAUCUUCCACAAUGGGCGAAAGCCUGAUGGAGCGACGCCGCGUGAGGGAUGAAGGUCUUCAGAUCGUAAACCUCUGAAUCAGGGACGAAAGACACUUCGGUGGGAUGACGGUACCUGAGUAAUAGCACCGGCUAACUCCGUGCCAGCAGCCGCCGUAAAAC
rnacentral:rRNA from 1 species